CUGCGCUGAGUGCAUCAGGCAACCAUUUGGUAUUUGUUGCAGGCGUGCAAAGGCAGUCUUUUAGCCAAUUUGUUCGAAACGUUGCUCAGAAGAAAACCUUAACAGCGUUAGCUUUAUCCAUUAAGUGGACAGAACAAGCAACAUGAUGACGGCAUCCAAGAUUCUACUUGUGCUGGCUGCAAUAGUCGCAAUGGUCGCCGCAGCCAAGUAUGGUGAAUGCCCUGAAGGGUUGGCUGGUAUUUGUGUUGAAGGCUGUUCAACUGACAGCGAUUGUGAGGGGGAGGAGAAGUGUUGCUUCAAUGGUUGUGGUAAAGUCUGCGUGGAACCUUGCGAACCACCACUCUGCCUAAUGUACUGUAAGAACGGAUUUAAGAGGAACAAGGUGGGAUGCAGGAUUUGCCAAUGCGAGGAAUAAACAAAGAGAGAAUGAGGCACACAUGGCUGCAGUCGUUACAUUGAUUCAGUGAGCCUUGCAGACACCCGAAGGACGAACAACUUAAUGGACAGGAAUCUUCAAGUUUAAUGUUGUUUCGUUGCCUAUGUUUCAUUGAAUUUUUCAAAGGGAGUUGUAUUUAGCAAGCAUGAACAAUAGACAUUUUGUCUGCAGUAUCAGUUUUAUUUGGUUCAAGGCUCAGCUAUUCUUUUGGUAAACUCUUUGAAUAUGUAUUUUCAAGGCAGAUUCUGUAGCCAGAUUUUAAUUCGGUGAAUAUUUAACUGUAGACGGCUGUCAUGCCUACAGUCAUGGGAGACUGAAAAUGCAGACUGGCUUUGGAUAAGGCCAUUUAAAAUUUAUUUUAGAUUCACAUCGAAGCCUGCUCUGGAUGAAGGGAUUUUUGUUAUUCUUACUGCUGUUAUUUUCAUCUACGUUCGGUUUUUUUAUUGGGGUUUUUGUUUAUUUGUGCUAUUUUACUUUGUUUGUAUUUGUUUUUCAUUUACUUUGGUGAUUCUAAUAAAUUACUCCUUUUCUUUUCGGAUCUUAUGUUUUUUCAGAGCAGUAUGCUCUUCGCUUUAAACAUGACUGCGGGAUCGAUGUGCAACAAGGCUUCGUUACGUGAAGCAUAGACUUUCAGGUAUAAUGAAUAGGUCUAUGCAGCGCGCCCCUACUGUAAAUUGAACUACAGUAGUUAAGGCCUUUGUGUAUCAUCCACACGACGCCUUUUUUGUUUCUCAAGCCAAAUCCUGGGUUAAAUAAUUUUGUGAAAAAGUUUGUGAAUUUUCAGAUAAUUACCCAUUACAAAUCGUGUCUUCCUCACACCUUCCUUUCCAUCACAAUUAAGAAAUCUAAUUGAAACAAGUUUAAGUUUAUGUCCAGUGGCCGUAAAUGUUACAUAAAGGAGGGUAAUGUAUUAUUUUCCUUUCUUGCGCAUAAGUUGACAUGUUGGUCGAGUUCGGGCACCGUGUUCUUGACACGGGUUUCUUGU